UACGGGGGGGGCAAGCGUUGUUCGGAAUUACUGGGCGUAAAGGGCUCGUAGGCGGCCAACUACGUCCGACGUGAAAUCCCCAGGCUUAACCUGGGAACUGCGUCGGAUACUGGUUGGCUUGAAUCCGGGAGAGGGAUGCGGAAUUCCAGGUGUAGCGGUGAAAUGCGUAGAUAUCUGGAGGAACACCGGUGGCGAAGGCGGCACCCUGGACCGGCAUUGACGCUGAACAGCGAAAGCCAGGGGAGCAAACGGG
rnacentral:rRNA from 1 species